CAGAACCUGGACGCUGUUUUCAGCUAUUGCACGGAGGGGAGAACGGAUCCGCACACCCUCCCGCGUUUCCACCGGACAGCAUGCUGCGCGGAGCCGCACACACCCGGUCUCCUCCGCCCCCUAAUCUCAAAGAGCAUCUGCCAUAAAUCAUUAAGUUAAUCAUCCUUUGGCAGGGAGAGCCAGGGCAGACUGGGGCUUCCAGUUCUCAGCACGGUGUCUUGCUGUUUCUAAUGAGGCUUCAUUAACAGGUAGCCUGUGAGCUCCGCAUGGCACACCGUCAGAAGCCUACCCCAGCCUUUCUCCUCUUCCGACUUGCCGAUAUAAGACCAGCUAUAGCUGGAGGAAUCACUAUUAGACUAAACCAGUCAUGGAGACCCCAUUGUCCUUUGCCAGACACAGGGAGAAGGCAGCCAUCUGCCAGCCAGGGAGAGCUCUAACCAGACGCUGAGCCCUGCAAACCUUGAUCUUGGACUUCCAGUCUCCAAAACGAGGCACUGAGGAAACUGAGGCCUUUUUCCUGAACUCUUUUAACUGAAAUGAAAAAGACGGUCCCAGGAUGACCCCAAGACAGGAACAAUGGCACCAGUGAGUCUUCAUUAAGCACGUACCAUGUGACAGAUGCAUGUGGUCCAACAGCCAGAGAGGAGAGCCAACAGCACGCGAAUGCAUGCAGCUGGGAUUAGUCCUAGCCGGCCCCAGGACCACCACCACCAGCUCCUCCGGACCGUCUGCUCAGCGGGAGUUUGGGAAACUGAGCAAUGUCUGCUAUGUAAGGAAUCCAAUCCAUCCAACCCUUAUCAAGCCAGUCAGAAGGCAGCAGUUGCCAGUGAAGCCUUUGGGGAGAUUUGCUCAAGUACGAAGCUGGACGUGGGUCUUGCACCAAUACGCUUGAGGGGAGGAGGCACUGGAAGGAGCAAGAAGAAAGGCUAGCUGAACUCUGCGGGUGGGCCAAGGUGGACCUCUGCGUGGGAGGCAGGGGGCCGAGCUGCAGAAACUGUGGGGUGGCACGCAUCUCAGGCCCUUGCAUGCCCCUGAAUCCGCAGUUUGGGGCAGCGGCAAGUGUGUUGAGGAAGAGAAGCAGCCCGCCGUGGCGGGGUAAAAGGUCAGCAGCGUGGCUGGACCCCAACAGGCUGGGUGAUCUGACCAGCUCAUGCCCCUUUUCUGACCUCAGCUUCCUUGUCAGCAAGAAAUGAGAUGGUUGUUCCGAAUCUGUGGAUUGGGAUUUUUUUUUCUUGUAAUAAAAUUCAUGUAACAUAAAAUGUGUUGUUACUGACAUUUGGUACAUUCCCAGUGUUGUGCAACCAUCAUCACUCUCUAGUUGCAGGGCAUCUUCAUCACCCCCAAAAAGCCUGUACCCAUGAAGCAGUCACUCCCCAGUACCCCUUCUCUGGGGCCCCUGGCAACCAUGAAUCUUCUUUCCGCCCCUGUGGACUUGCCUGUUCUGGAUAUUUCAUAUAAACGGAAUCAUGCAAUUCUAUGGCCUUUUGUGACUGACUUCUGUCACCUAGCACAAUAUUUGCAAGUUUCAUCUGUGUUUGAGCAUUUAGCAGCACUUCGUUUCUUUUUAAGGCUAAAUAAUAUUCCAUUGUAGAGCUAUACUACUUUUAUCUACCCAUCAGUUGAUGAACAUUUGUAUGGUUUCCACCUCUUGGCUACUGUGAAUAGUCAAACAUUCCAAUAUUUGUGUACAAGAAUCAGUAUAUCUGUUUUGAAAUCUUUGGGGUAUGUACCCAGGAGUAGAAUUGCUGGGUCACAUGGUGUUAUGGACCAAAUGUUUGUGCCUUCACAAAAGAAGUCCUGAGCCCCACAGUGAUGGUAUUUGGAGGUGAGGCCUGUGGGAGGUAAUUGGGUUUAGUUGGGGUCAUGAGAGUGGGGCCCCCCGAUGGGAUUAGUAACAUAAAAAGAGGAAGAAAUCAGAGCUCCUUCCCGACCCCCA